GACGAACGCUGGCGGCGUGCCUAAUACAUGCAAGUAGAACGCUGAGGGAGGAGCUUGCUCUUCUGGAUGAGUUGCGAACGGGUGAGUAACGCGUAGGUAACCUUCCUGGUAGCGGGGGAUAACUAUUGGAAACGAUAGCUAAUACCGCAUAACAGUAGAUGUUUCAUGACAUUUACUUCAAAGUUGCAAUUGCAUCACUACCAGAUGGUCCUGCGUUGUAUUAGCUAGUUGGUGGGGUAACGGCUCACCAAAGCGACGAUACCUAGCAGACCUGAGCGGGUGAUAGGCCACACUGGGAAUGAGACACGGCCCAGACUCAUACGGGAGGCAGCAGUAGGGAAGCUUAGGCAACGGACGGAAGCCUGACCGAGCAACGCCGCGUGAGUGAAGAAGGUCUUCGGAUCGUAAAGCUCUGUUGUAAAAGAAGAACGAGUGUGAGAGUGGCAAGUCCACACUGUGACGGUAUCUUACCAGAAAGGGACGGCUAACUACGAG
rnacentral:rRNA from 1 species